rnacentral:rRNA from 1 species
CAGGCCUAACACAUGCAAGUCGAACGAUGCUUUCGGGCAUAGUGGCGCACGGGUGCGUAACGCGUGGGAAUCUGCCCUGGGGUACGGAAUAACUCAGAGAAAUUUGAGCUAAUACCGUAUGAUGACGUAAGUCCAAAGAUUUAUCGCCCUGGGAUGAGCCCGCGUCGGAUUAGCUAGUUGGUGGGGUAAAGGCCUACCAAGGCGACGAUCCGUAGCUGGUCUGAGAGGAUGAUCAGCCACACUGGGACUGAGACACGGCCCAGACUCCUACGGGAGGCAGCAGUGGGGAAUAUUGGACAAUGGGCGCAAGCCUGAUCCAGCAAUGCCGCGUGAGUGAUGAAGGCCUUAGGGUUGUAAAGCUCUUUUACCCGGGAAGAUAAUGACUGUACCGGGAGAAUAAGCCCCGGCUAACUCCGUGCCAGCAGCCGCGGUAAU